rnacentral:rRNA from 1 species
CUGCAAGUCGAGCGAACAGACGAGGAGCUUGCUCCUCUGACGUUAGCGGCGGACGGGUGAGUAACACGUGGAUAACCUACCUAUAAGACUGGGAUAACUUCGGGAAACCGGAGCUAAUACCGGAUAACAUGUUGAACCGCAUGGUUCAACAGUGAAAGACGGUCUUGCUGUCACUUAUAGAUGGAUCCGCGCCGCAUUAGCUAGUUGGUAAGGUAACGGCUUACCAAGGCAACGAUGCGUAGCCGACCUGAGAGGGUGAUCGGCCACACUGGAACUGAGACACGGUCCAGACUCCUACGGGAGGCAGCAGUAGGGAAUCUUCCGCAAUGGGCGAAAGCCUGACGGAGCAACGCCGCGUGAGUGAAGAAGGUCUUCGGAUCGUAAAACUCUGUUAUUAGGGAAGAACAAAUGUGUAAGUAACUAUGCACGUCUUGACGGUACCUAAUCAGAAAGCCACGGCUAACUACGUGCCAGCAGCCGCGGUAAUACGUAGGUGGCAAGCGUUAUCCGGAAUUAUUGGGCGUAAAGCGCGCGUAGGCGGUUUUUUAAGUCUGAUGUGAAAGCCCACGGCUCAACCGUGGAGGGUCAUUGGAAACUGGAAAACUUGAGUGCAGAAAAGGAAAGUGGAAUUCCAUGCGUACCGGUCAAAUGCGCACAAAAANGGAAGAAUACCNNUGNCUAAAGNNNCUUUCUGGUCUGUAUCUGAAGUUUUAUUUNCUAUUAUCGUUUGGAUUAUUACCCGC